GGGCUAUGGGGCACAAACAAAGUUUGCUGGGUGGAAAGCCAAGAGUGAAAACAUGGCCAGCGACCACCAUCUCCUAAAUAAGGUUCCAAUAACAGUGGAGUCGCAGGCGCGUCGCCAGACCGUCCCGGACGCGAGUUGGUCUUCGCGACUCACGGUCACGGACAGUGUGUGUUCCUCGGUGGCGGGCGGAAGGUUGCGCUCAAACUCUCUCUCGUUUUGUCCAAUGAACGGUUGACUUACAGCAUCUCUCACUGAGUGUAGAAGAAUACAUAGGUUGGAUAGGAGGCAGGACUGAGGGAGGCGCGAGGCUUAUGGAGCGGCGGCGGCAGGUGUGUGGCGCGUACAGAUGUGUUGGGUGGUACUUCGGCGCUUGUCCUUCACGGUAUCGGAAGGACAGACUACACGUGCAUGGUACUUUCUCGGCUACCUUUGGACUUCAAGCAGCAAGUGAUCUGUUAUUGUUUAAGUAUGCUGUGUGAUUUCACUGCUAUCUACUUGUGUGUGAAGUACAUUUUGUAUUAGAAAAGAAAUAGAUGAUGUAUUAAAGAGAAGGGAAGUGGUUGAAUAUUGUCACACACACACACACACACACACACACACACACACACACACACACACACACACACACACACACACACACACACACACACGAUAAUCUCAUCACUGGAUUUAGGCGAUAACUUUUUUUUUUUUAUCGAGAAGUAAAAAGAAAAUACUGAAAAAUCUUUGGUGGUUCGUCAUGUGCGUGUAAUUUUUUUUUUCCUUUUUUGUGUGUGUGUGUGGUUUGUGUGUAAUCUUCUCGAAUGUUUGAGUCAUGACGCAUUUGAUGGUUACGACUUCGGCUUUAAGUAUUUAUUUAUUUUCCUUUGUUGGUGUUAGUAUAUUUUUCACUUGUUUUGUAUGUAUAUUGUUUUCACUGUCAUGAGAUUUUUUUGUUUUGUUUAGUAAAGAGGAGAGAAGUCAAAGUUUAUAUUUUUUCCCCUAAUUGUUUUAUUUUCAUUAAACACUUUUAACUAAUUGAUCUCUUCCUGUUAUUUAGUGUGGGGGGCGGCUGUCCUUUAGCUGGCAUCGCUGUGUCAGGCAUUUUCUCCUUUUUUUUAAUAUGUUUUGACCUUUGCUCCUAUUUAUUAUUUUAGUCUUUUGAUAUUUUGCUUUUUUUCGUUCAAUUUCUCCUUUAAUAAAUUCCUGUUGCUACGAGACUUUUUCUUCCUUUGUGCUUUACUUUUCAACGUCAUUGUAAUACUCUUCCUUGGUCCUUCAUUUCCCAUCACUAUUUCAGUUAUUUACUCAUUCCUUACUUUUACC